GAGUGAAUUCUGCAGAAUUAUCUUCUCUGAUUCUGAAGCCUAAAGGUGACUAAGGAAUCACAUAUUGAGAAAAAAGGCUGUUGCUUGUAGGGAGCGACUCAAGAUUGGUAAGACCAGAGACAGAUGAGCUGGGGGACUUGUUAACUGGGAUCCUUGAUAGUCAGCAACCUCUGAAAGGUAUCCCCGAUGAUGACCAUUUGGACAGUACAGAUGGGGGACUGUUCCAAUCCUGAUUUGAGGCAGAUGAUCACCAUAGCUUGGAGGGGGCUCAACAGGAUGAAGGUCAACCAGCUGCAACUGCAGUCUUCCCUCCUGGUUGCUAAGUCACUAACCUGGGCCAGAGGACAAAGACAAGAGGCUGAGCAUGCAUGACAAACUGGCCAUUGAAUUUCAUGAGCGCAAACUAAUGUAUUUAAAAGUGAAGGAGGAGAAGAGAAACUCGACGCAGCAGCAGUACCAAUGUUCUUCUCAAACCAG